AUUGAACGCUGGCGGCAUGCCUAACACAUGCAAGUCGAGCGGAGCGGCGGACGGGUGAGUGAUGCCUAGGAAUCUGCCUGGUAGUGGGGGAUAACGUCCGGAAACGGGCGCUAAUACCGCAUACUUUCAGAUGAGCCUAGGUCGGAUGAGCUGGUUGGUGGGGUAAGGCCUACCAAGGCGACGAUCCGUAACUGGUCUGAGAGGAUGUUCAGGCACACUGGGACUGAGACACGGCCCAGACGCCUACGGGAGGCAGCAGUGGGGAAUAUUGGACAAUGGGCGAAAGCCUGAUCCAGCCAUGCCGCGUGUGUGAAGAAGGUCUUCGGAUUGUAAAGCACUUUAAGUUGGGAGGCGUUACCAACAGAAUAAGCACCGGCUAACUACGUGCCAGCCGCCGCGGUAAUUC
rnacentral:rRNA from 1 species